CAAUAGCGUAUAUUAAAGUUGUUGCAGUUAAAAAGCUCGUAGUUGGAUUUGUGGCGUACGGUGUGUUCCGGGCACUUGUUGUCUGAGUAACCUGCUGUUGCCAUCCUUGGGUGGAACCUGUGUGGCAUUAGGUUGUCGUGCAGGGGAUGCCCAUCAUUUACUGUGAAAAAAUUAGAGUGUUCAAAGCAGGCUUAUGCCGUUGAAUAUAUUAGCAUGGAAUAAUGAGAUAGGACUUUUUUGCUAUUUCGUUGGUUUGCGCAAGAAGGUAAUGAUUAAUAGGGACAGUUGGGGGUAUUCGUAUUCCAUUGUCAGAGGUGAAAUUCUUGGAUUUUUGGAAGACGAACUACUGCGAAAGCAUUUACCAAGGAUGUUUUCAUUAA
rnacentral:rRNA from 1 species